rnacentral:rRNA from 1 species
CCUACGGGAGGCAGCAGUGGGGAAUAUUGCACAAUGGGGGGAACCCUGAUGCAGCGACGCCGCGUGGGUGAGGAAGUAUCUCGGUACGUAAAGCUCUAUCAGCAGGGAAGAAAAUGACGGUACCUGACCAAGAAGCCCCGGCUAACUACGUGCCAGCAGCCGCGGUAAUACGUAGGGGGCAAGCGUUAUCCGGAUUUACUGGGUGUAAAGGGAGCGUAGACGGCGGGCCAAGUCUGAUGUGAAAUGCCGGGGCUCAACCCCGGGACUGCAUUGGAAACUGGCAGGCUGGAGUGCCGGAGGGGCAAGCGGAAUUCCUAGUGUAGCGGUGAAAUGCGUAGAUAUUAGGAGGAACACCGGUGGCGAAGGCGGCUUACUGGACGGUAACUGACGUUGAGGCUCGAAAGCGUGGGGAGCAAACAGGAUUAGAUACCCCUGUAGUC